GACACGACCGUACCGCAAACCGACACUGGUGCGCGAGAUGAGUAUUCUAAGGCGCUUGAGAGAACUCAGGAGAAGGAACUCGGCAAAUUGACACCGUAACUUCGGAAGAAGGUGUGCCUUUAGUAGGUGAAGUCCCUCGCGGAUGGAGCCCAAUGAGGUUGCAAAGAAUCGGUGGCUGCGACUGUUUAUUAAAAACACAGCACUCUGCAAACACGAAAGUGGACGUAUAGGGUGUGACGCCUGCCCGGUGCUGGAAGAUUAAAUGAUGGGGUGCAAGCUCUUGAUUGAAGUCCCAGUAAACGGCGGCCGUAACGAUAACGGUCCUAAGGUAGCGAAAUUCCUUGUCGGGUAAGUUCCGACCUGCACGAAUGGCGUAACGAUGGCCACACUGUCUCCUCCUGAGACUCAGCGAAGUUGAAAUGUUUGUGAUGAUGCAAUCUCCCCGCGGAAAGACGGAAAGACCCCAUGAACCUUUACUGUAGCUUUGUAUUGGACUUUGAACAGAUCUGUGUAGGAUAGGUGGGAGGCUUUGAAGCAGGGUCGCUAGAUCUUGUGGAGCCAACGUUGAAAUACCACCCUGGUGUGUUUGAGGUUCUAACCUAGGCCCGUAAUCCGGGUUGGGGACAGUGCAUGGUAGGCAGUUUGACUGGGGCGGUCUCCUCCCAAAGUGUAACGGAGGAGUUCGAAGGUACGCUAGUUACGGUCGGACAUCGUGACGAUAGUGCAAUGGCAUAAGCGUGCUUAACUGCGAGACUGACAAGUCGAGCAGAUGCGAAAGCAGGACAUAGUGAUCCGGUGGUUCUGUAUGGAAGGGCCAUCGCUCAACGGAUAAAAGGUACUCUGGGGAUAACAGGCUGAUACCGCCCAAGAGUUCAUAUCGACGGCGGUGUUGGGCACCUCGAUGUCGGCUCAUCUCAUCCUGGGGCUGUAGCCGGUCCCAAGGGUAUGGCUGUUCGCCAUUUAAAGAGGUACGUGAGCUGGGUUUAAAACGUCGUGAGACAGUUUGGUCCCUAUCUUCCGUGGGCGCUGCAGAUUUGAGGAAGCCUGCUCCUAGUACGAGAGGACCGGAGUGGACGCACCUCUGGUGUAUCGGUUGUCACGCCAGUGGCAUUGCCGAGUAGCUAUGUGCGGAAGAGAUAACCGCUGAAAGCAUCUAAGCGGGAAACUCGUUUCAAGAUGAGAUCUGCCGGGGCCUUGAGCCCCCUGAAGAGUCGUUCAAGACCAGGACGUUGAUAGGUCGGGUGUGGAAGCGCAGUAAUGCGUUAAGCUAACCGAUACUAAUUGCUCGUGCGGCUUGACCCU
rnacentral:rRNA from 1 species